GCGGCCGAGAGGCGCUGCAGCGGACGAUCGUCCGCCACGCUCGGCCCCAUCUCUUGCAGAAAGGGCGCCUUCUUGCG
rnacentral:ncRNA from 2 species